UCCUGGAUAGCUUAGUCUGUAGAGCACGAGACUCUUAAUCUCAGGGUUGUGGGUUCGAGCCCCACAUUGGGCA
rnacentral:tRNA from 1 species